UGCAAUCGGUUGGUAUCAUAGCCACC
rnacentral:piRNA from 1 species